GAGUAAUACGUGAGUAACCUGCCCCCGUUCUUUGGGAUAAGCCUUGGAAACGGGGUCUAAUACUGGAUAUUCCUGGUCUGGCGCAUGUCGGGUUGGGGAAAGUUUUUUCGGUGGGGGAUGGGCUCGCGGCCUAUCAGCUUGUUGUGGGGUGAUGGCCUACCAAGGCGUCGACGGGUAGCCGGCCUGAGAGGGUGACCGGUCACACUGGGACUGAGAUACGGCCCAGACUCCUACGGGAGGCAGCAGUGGGGGAUAUUGCACAAUGGGCGCAAGCCUGAUGCAGCCGACGCCGCGUGAGGGAUGACGGCUUUCGGGUUGUAAACCUCUUUCGACACGGAACAAGGCUCUGCUUUUGUGGGGUUGAGGGUACGUGUAUAAGAAGCGCCGGCUAACUACGUGCCAGCCGCGGC
rnacentral:rRNA from 1 species